GGCAUGGUGCUGGCACAGCGGUGGAGUGCAAAGCCCAUAGAUAGAGAGGCUUUGGCCCUCAAUGUGGCUGUCCCCUGGUUUGAGUCCUGGCCAUGGCG